GAUGAACGCUGGCGGCGUGCUUAACACAUGCAAGUCGAACGAAGCAUUUGCGACAGAUUUUUUCGGAAUGAAGUUGCUUAUGACUGAGUGGCGGACGGGUGAGUAACGCGUGGGUAACCUGCCUUGUACUGGGGGAUAGCAGCUGGAAACGGCUGGUAAUACCGCAUAAGCGCACAAUGUUGCAUGACAUGUUGUGAAAAACUCCGGUGGGAUAAGAUGGACCCGCGUCUGAUUAGCUAGUUGGUGAGAUAACAGCCCACCAAGGCGACGAUCAGUAGCCGACCUGAGAGGGUGACCGGCCACAUUGGGACUGAGACACGGCCCAGACUCCUACGGGAGGCAGCAGUGGGGAAUAUUGCACAAUGGAGGAAACUAUGAUGCAGCGACGCCGCGUGAGUGAAGAAGUAAUUCGUGAUGUAAAGCUCUAUCAGCAGGGAAGAUAGUGACGGUACCUGACUAAGAAGCUCCGGCUAAAUACGUG
rnacentral:rRNA from 1 species